GAGAGAAUCCUAAGGUGAGCGAGAGAACUCUCGUUAAGGAACUCGGCAAAAUGACCCCGUAACUUCGGGAGAAGGGGUGCUCUAUUAGGGUGCAAGCCCGAGAGAGCCGCAGUGAAUAGGCCCAGGCGACUGUUUAGCAAAAACACAGGUCUCUGCAAAACCGUAAGGUGACGUAUAGGGGCUGACGCCUGCCCGGUGCUGGAAGGUUAAGAGGAGUGCUUAGCUUCGGCGAAGGUACGAAUUGAAGCCCCAGUAAACGGCGGCCGUAACUAUAACGGUCCUAAGGUAGCGAAAUUCCUUGUCGGGUAAGUUCCGACCCGCACGAAAGGCGCAACGAUCUGGGCACUGUCUCAACGAGAGACUCGGUGAAAUUAUAGUACCUGUGAAGAUGCAGGUUACCCGCGACAGGACGGAAAGACCCCGUGGAGCUUUACUGCAACCUGAUAUGGAAUGUUUGUACCGCUUGUACAGGAUAGGUAGGAGCCGAAGAGACGUGUGCG
rnacentral:rRNA from 1 species